CAAAUCACGAUCACCGGAGUUAAGCAUCGUAGAGCCAGGUCAGUACUUAGAUGGGGGACCGCUUGGGAACACCUGGUACUGUAAGC